rnacentral:rRNA from 1 species
AGAGUUUGAUCCUGGCUCAGAACGAACGCUGGCGGCGCGUUUUAAGCAUGCAAGUCGAGCGGCAAGGGCCUUCGGGCCCCUAGAGCGGCGGACGGGUGAGUAACACGUGGACAAUCUGCCCCCCGGUCCGGGAUAGCCCAGGGAAACCUGGAUCAAUACCGGAUGCGAGCGCGGCCACAGAAGUGGCUGCGGGGAAAGGCGCUUCGGCGCCGCCGGGGGAUGAGUCCGCGGCCCAUUAGCUAGACGGCGGGGUAAAGGCCCACCGUGGCGACGAUGGGUAGCCGGCCUGAGAGGGUGAUCGGCCACAUUGGAACUGAGACACGGUCCAGACUCCUACGGGAGGCAGCAGCUAAGAAUCUUCCGCAAUGGGCGAAAGCCUGACGGAGCGACGCCGCGUGAACGAUGAAGGCCGUGAGGUUGUAAAGUUCUUUUCGGGAGCGGGAAUAAGCGUGGCAGGCAAUGGCCGUGCGAUGACGUCAAUCCCGGAAUAAGCCCCGGCUAACUACGUGCCAGCAGCCGCGGUAACACGUAGGGGGCGAGCGUUGUUCGGAAUCAUUGGGCGUAAAGGGCGUGCAGGCGGCCCUGCAAGUCCGGCGUGAAAUGCCCCGGCUCAACCGGGGAGACGCGCUGGAAACUGCAGGGCUAGAGUACAGGAGGGGAUGCCGGAAUUCCAGGUGUAGGGGUGAAAUCUGUAGAUAUCUGGAGGAACACCAAUGGCGAAGGCAGGCAUCUGGCCAUGUACUGACGCUGAGACGCGAAGGUGCGGGGAGCAAACAGGUUUAGAUACCCUGGUAGUCCGCACAGUAAACGAUGUGCACCAGGUGGCGGGGGGUCGACCCCCGGUACCGUAGCUAACGCAUUAAGUGCACCGCCUGGGGAGUAUGCUCGCAAGGGUGAAACUCAAAGGAAUUGACGGGGGCCCGCACAAGCGGUGGAGCAUGUGGUUUAAUUCGAUGAUACGCGAGGAACCUUACCCGGGCUUGAAUUGCACAGGACAUACGGUGAGAGCCGUAUUUCUUCGGACCUGUGUGAAGGUGCUGCAUGGUUGUCGUCAGCUCGUGCCGUGAGGUGUCGGCUUAAGUGCCAUAACGAGCGCAACCCUUGCUGUCAGUUACCACCAGGUUAAGCUGGGGACUCUGACAGGACUGCCGCCGUAAGGUG